CAUCUCUGAAGCUGAAUUUCUUUAGUUCCAAAAACAUUCAACUAGAAAGAACGGCCACCAACCUUGAAAUGUCCCUGGAAGACUAGGAGGAAGGCAGGGAGGAGAGCAGAGGAGGUAAGCUGAGGCCUUGGGGGAGGGGCAAAUGGAAAACAGAACAGAGUUGGUGACAAGGGUGUGCCACUCCCAGAUUUGGGGAAUCCCCUCCUUGUAAGUGCAUAGUUGUACAGAGCAUGUGACUGUACUUCUGCCCUUUUCAUUGCAGUAGGCCUGUUGUUAAUUCUUCCAAGAAACACCUCUGGGAGGAGGUAAUAAAACCUUUAAGCUGAUCUGGUAUGUGAGGCCACUUGGGUCCCUGUCUUCAAGGAGCAUAAUCAGACAAGUCUGUCAACAGCUGCAGUUGGAACAGCUUUGCUUUGAGCACCGCUGGGGUACCAAUUACCUCUGUUUGAGAAAUGCUUUCCAAGGCCAGCUGUGGUUUUGGGGUAUCAGCAUCCUUUCCCAACCAGGAACAUGUUGAAUGUUCAUUUGGGAAGACAGAAGCUUCCAGGAUCGUCACCUCUGGUGUUGCUGUUCCUAUUACACACAGUCCUCAGCCAGAUUAAAGUUUGAUGAUCGGUCCACAAGGAUAAAUUCUUCAAUUUGAGGUCCCUGACAGAUGGAGUAAUGGAUGAGCUUCAAGGGGAUCCAGGAAACCCUUUAAAUUGUAUAAAAACAUUUUCUCUGCUAAUACAUUUGUAUGUGGGCUUCUACAGAGAAAGUCUGUUCUUUUAUAUAAUUCUAAAAAGGAUCUGUUGGUCCCCACCAUAAUAGGAGCCACUAUGGAAUGUACUGUCCCCACUACUUCUUCAGGGCCUGGAUGAUAAAAUCCCAGCUUCCUUGCACUGGAGGCAUGGACUUGAGAAUCAGACAGACCUGGAUUCAAAUCCUGCCUCUGCCAUUUGCUGUUUGUGUGACUUCAGCUUUAGUUCCCUCCCUUGUGAACGUGGAAAGUAAUAUGGGAACAGAGAAUGAGAUUCAUACACGUGUAAUAAAGAAAGCAGAUGAAUUGCCAGGUGAUUGAGAAGGGAACGAGCUGAGACAGGAACGCUGGGGAGCAUCAGAAUCCAAGGGGUUUUUGAGAAAAGGGGGCCAAUGAAGGAGACUGAGAAGGAGAGGCCAAGGAGCCAGGAGAGAAACCAGAAGGGAAGACUGUCCGGAAGCCGAGGGAGGGGAUGACGUCAAGCAGGGAGCCAUCAGACUAAUCCACUUAGAUGAGGACAGGAAGGUACCUUUGGAUUUUUAUUGUAAAUAAAAUAAAAUAAAUGCUCAGGAAGCAUUUGAUGAACUA